GCCCUUCGGGGUACUCGAGUGGCGAACGGGUGAGUAACACGUGGGUGAUCUGCCCUGCACUUUGGGAUAAGCCUGGGAAACUGGGUCUAAUACCGAAUAUGACCACGCGCUUCAUGGUGUGUGGUGGAAAGCUUUUGCGGUGUGGGAUGGGCCCGCGGCCUAUCAGCUUGUUGGUGGGGUAAUGGCCUACCAAGGCGACGACGGGUAGCCGGCCUGAGAGGGUGACCGGCCACACUGGGACUGAGAUACGGCCCAGACUCCUACGGGAGGCAGCAGUGGGGAAUAUUGCACAAUGGGCGCAAGCCUGAUGCAGCGACGCCGCGUGAGGGAUGACGGCCUUCGGGUUGUAAACCUCUUUCAAUAGGGACGAAGCGCAAGUGACGGUACCUAUAGAAGAAGGACCGGCCAACUACGUGCCAGCAGCCGCGGUAAUACGUAGGGUCCGAGCGUUGUCCGGAAUUACUGGGCGUAAAGAGCUCGUAGGUGGUUUGUCGCGUUGUUCGUGAAAACUCACAGCUUAACUGUGGGCGUGCGGGCGAUACGGGCAGACUAGAGUACUGCAGGGGAGACUGGAAUUCCUGGUGUAGCGGUGGAAUGCGCAGAUAUCAGGAGGAACACCGGUGGCGAAGGCGGGUCUCUGGGCAGUAACUGACGCUGAGGAGCGAAAGCGUGGGGAGCGAACAGGAUUAGAUACCCUGGU
rnacentral:rRNA from 1 species